CACGCACUAACUACACACCCAUCACCGCUUCUCCCUCUCACCCAUAACGUGGAUUUCCCUCCGGGCUUGGAACCGGGGGAUGCUGGGGACACAGGGCAGGGACCCGUUACCACGGCUGAGACACGUAUGCACCAAGCAGGGACUAAGGGAUUGGGCGGACAUAAGCAAAGACACGGAUCAAUCUUUCCACACACGAUUUAAAUAUGAACAAUUGCGUAGUUUUG